CAAGUCGAACGCGAAAAUCCCGCAAGGGAUUAGUAGAGUGGCAAACGGGUGAGUAACACGUGGGUGACCUGCCUUCGAGUGGGGGAUAACGUCCCGAAAGGGACGCUAAUACCGCAUGACAUCCUGCCUUUGAAGAGGUGGAGCUUAAAGCCGGGGAUCGCAAGACCUGGCGCUUGAAGAGGGGCCCGCGCCUGAUUAGCUAGUUGGUGAGGUAACGGCUCACCAAGGCAACGAUCAGUAUCCGGCCUGAGAGGGCGGACGGACACACUGGGACUGAGACACGGCCCAGACUCCUACGGGAGGUAGCAGUGGGGAAUUGUUCGCAAUGGGCGCAAGCCUGACGACGCAACGCCGCGUGGAGGAUGAAGACCUUCGGGUCGUAAACUCCUUUCGAUCGAGACGAACGGCCCCUGGGCUAAUCACCAGGGGAGUGACGGUACCGAGAGAAGAAGCCCCGGCUAACUCCGUGCCAGCAGCCGCGGUAAUACGGGGGGGGCAAGCGUUGUUCGGAAUUACUGGGCGUAAAGGGCUCGUAGGUGGCCAACUAAGUCAUACGUGAAAUCCCUCGGCUUAACCGGGGAACUGCGUCUGAUACUGGAUGGCUUGAGGUUGGGAGAGGGAUGCGGAAUUCCAGGUGUAGCGGUGAAAUGCGUAGAUAUCUGGAGGAACACCGGUGGCGAAGGCGGCAUCCUGGACCAAUUCUGACACUGAGGAGCGAAAGCCAGGGGAGCAAACGGGAUUAGAUACCCCGGUAGUCCUGGCCCUAAACGAUGAAUGCUUGGUGUGGCGGGUAUCGAUCCCUGCCGUGCCGAAGCUAACGCAUUAAGCAUUCCGCCUGGGGAGUAC
rnacentral:rRNA from 1 species